ACAAAAAAACCUUUACCCCAUGCUCUCCUGAAAAAAAUUAAAGGGAAAAUUUAUAGACCAGGAACAGUUGAGGUAGACAAAAGCAAGUCAAACAGAUUGUAUAAAUGAACAAAAUUCUUAAGUCAAGAGAAGAAUGCUUAUAUGUCACAGACGGAAAACUGGUAACUUCCUUAUUAGGACAGAAAUUUGGGAGAUCGAGAAAAAAAAAACAAAAAACAACAAAAAACGUGCACAUCAGUUGCAUAGCAGAAAUUCACACCGAGGGAGCCUUCACAAGAAAGAAAAUCCGCAGCAGGGCUCCACGGAAAAAGCCGUCGGGAGGGUGGGAGCAGCCCCCGCCGUGCGGCGGCACUGACGCGGUGGGGGCGGAGUCGGGGGCUGACAGCAUAAAAAACGUGCCACGAGGGAGCUGAGCAAACAGGACGUCCGGGCACACAGAGCGUGGCGCGUCAGAACGGCGUGAGGCGGCAGCUCGUGCAGGGCGGUUGGGCGAGCGAGCAGGCGAGUACCCUAAAGGCUACAGAGAUAAGUUCAUUAGGUGAUUAUCAGCUGCAAAGUUCAGGCUCAUCACACUCUGAAGUGCAGGAUUAUCCUCUCAAGGACCGAGACUUAAUCAUGGUAUCCACCCGAAGGAGAGCUAGGGUGUCACACAUGUCAGGAAGGAUGUUGCAACACUUCAGACCUCCGGAUGUGUACAGCGCCUGAGCCUCUCACUGUCUCCGUGGGGCAACCAUCAGAACAGCUGUGUGACUGCGAGCAGACUGACGGCCUACUCAGCCUCGUGGCCAAACUACAAGAUGAAAACGUGUCAUUGGGAACAAAAAGGAGGAGCAGGGAAACCACUGUUCAUCCAUGCACAAACAGGUAGAGAUGAAGCAAUUUCAGGUAGGUCAAGGACUAUCAAAAUCGACCUCAGGACUUUGGAACAACAGCUAAAGGAACUGAAUGAACAGAUCAUCUUCUCUGUCUCCUGCAUUGCCUAAAGACACAGAAACAAACCAAAGGAUCUUAUAUUUAAAUACCUGGCUUUGUGGCUGGUGCUAUCCCAGCACUUUGGGUUUUCUGACAACCAAUAAAUCUACAUAGUACUGGGUUUAUGGGCACCAGAUGAGGUUUGCCUUUCUCAAAGGGAAAGAAGGGUCCUUGGGGAAAAGCUAUCGAGGCUCACUGGAAGGGCUUUAAACAAGGUGAAGGGGGUGCAGGGAUAACGAGACUUCCCAUGAUAAGGUGUGGGAAGACAUAACUAUAUUAGGUCAAGGUUUCAGGGAAACCCAAAGGACCCAUUGUCUUGAGAGGUGAUAGCAACACUGCAGCACAUACAAAACUCUACGAUGAUGAGGCAAUGACUACUGGGGCAGCAGGAGAAUGCAAUGGAGAAAAUCAAGGGAAAUACCUAAAAGGAAUUGAGGAGUCAUCCUUUAAGAAAGUAACAAUACCAGCUGCCCGGCUGAAGUGCCUCUGCACCAACGUGUGCAGCUCGGGAAACAAAAAGAAGGAGCUGGAAGCUACUGUGCUACUAGAAGACCAUAAAUGUAGCUGUCAUUACUGAAACUCUGUGGGAUGGUUGCCACAACUGGAGUGUGGCAACUGAUGACUACAAGCUGUGCAGAAUGGACAGACAAGGAAGGAGGGGAUGGGAUGUUGCUAUCUACAUCAGGAAAGGAAGAGAAUGUGAAGAUCUUUCACUAAAGAACAGUCAUGAGAAAGUCAAAAGCCUAUGGAUGACAGUUAUAGACAGAAGCAGCAAAAAGAGUCUUGUGAUGGGUAUCUACUACAGAUAGUAGUAGAUCUGCCACCAGAUCAGGCAGAGCCUGUUGAUGAGGCCUUCUACCUCAAAUUACAGGAGGCAUCACAAUCACAAGUGCUUGUCCUGCAUGGGGACUUCAACUACCCAGACAUCUAUUGGAAAAGUAGCACAGUGAGCUGUAGGCAACCCAGGAGGCUCCUGCAAUGCACUGACUUCCUGAGUCAAGUAAUAGAACAGCCUCACUAUGGAUGCAGUACUGGACCUGUUGCUCACCUACAUAAAUGAACUGAUCGGUGACAUCAGGAUUGGAGGCUGUCUGGGCUGUAGUGACUAUGCUAUUAUUGGAAAUAUCCAAACAAUUUAUCAAGACGGUGUCUCUGAUAAAAGCAGA